GCUCCUCUUAACCUAUAAAUAGCCAUCCAAUAUACCUAGAAGCUCCUCUUAACCUAUAAAUAGCCAUCGCCACCUUUUCGAAUCAAUCACGAAUUUCACGGCACUCAGAACUCCGCCUUCCCAUCCCGCAAUUUAGUAAAACCUUCCAAUACCUUGCUCAUCCAACACAACCCCAAAGGAGGGAGACAUUGUGCAAGUGAAGAAUGCCAGCCCAGCGAAGAAGAGCAUAUGCAAAGCUUCUGCUAUACACCAAAGGACUUCUUAGAAAUCUCCAAUCCUCCAAACGGCUCCGGAAAACUAAUACCAUCAUGCGAAAUAUAUGCAUUAGACUAACUAUGAAGUCACAGAUACAGAAAAGGGGGACGAUUUCUUUUUUUAACCGAAGAAACUUCUUUGUUAUUACAUAGCAUAUACAAAGCAAAAGACCAAGCUGCUUGACAAGGAUGAUUGAUAUGACAUGAAAAUCUGCUAGCAAA